rnacentral:rRNA from 1 species
AGUAAAUAGAUACCCGGGUAGUCCAUGCCGUAAACGAUGAUUGCUAGGUGUGGGGGGUCUGACCCCUUCCGUGCCGGAGUUAAACACAAAUAAAGCAAUCCACCUGGGGAGUACGGCCGCAAGGUUGAAACUCAAAGGAAUUGACGGGGGCCCGCACAAGCAGUGGAGUAUGUGGUUUAAUUCGAAAGCAACGCGAAGAACCUUACCAGGUCUUGACAUCCACCGAAUCCUGUAGAGAUACGGGAGUGCCCUUCGGGGAACGGUGAGACAGGUGGUGCAUGGUUGUCGUCAGCUCGUGUCGUGAGAUGUUGGGUUAAGUCCCGCAACGAGCGCAACCCUUGUGAAUAGUUGCUACGAAAGAGCACUCUAUUCAGACCGCCGUUGACAAAACGGAGGAAGGUGGGGAUGACGUCAAAUCAUCAUGCCCCUUAUGACCUGGGCUACACACGUACUACAAUGGCCGUUAACAGAGGGAUGCAAUGCCGCGAGGUGGAGCGAACCCCUAAAAACGGUCUCAGUUCAGAUUGCAGGCUGAAACUCGCCUGC